rnacentral:lncRNA from 1 species
ACAAACUGAAAAAAAUGUGUAACUUUGAUUUAUAAAUAUUUUGAGAACAAAUUUAUUAAAAUGUUUCCUUUUAUAUGUAAUUUUUACAUCAAGAAACUAUGUACAUUUCCUAAUACUCUGAUUCUUUGAAUCUUCAUUUAUGAUUCAAAGCUAAUGGUCAUCUGUGCUUUAACAUUCUAUUGUACUUUCCAUUUAAACAAUUUUGGCGUAAUUAUAGUAUUGCUUAUCUCUAAGAGGUAGGUAUAUAUAAAAUGGCUUAAAAGAGAAAGUAGCAAAAAUAAGUAAUUGUUUUGGGGGUGUGGUAAUUAAUUGGAUUUUGCUGGCAUUCAACUUUGCUUUUCCCCCUAAUAACUAAUCACUUGGGUAAUUUUAGUCUUUGUUUAGAUGAUUCAUUAAAGUAGGUAUUACACGAGCUCAAAAUGGGGCAAGCUCUAUGUUGUCCCUUACAGUGCAUUUUUCUACUUGGAAGAAAUUAGUGUAGGAGUCUUCAUGAGAUUUGUUUUACAUUUCCCUGUCUACCUGUUAUGCCAUUUUUCACAAUGAGCAAUUCUUGGUUCUUGUCACAUAAAUUGUAAAGAUUAAGUCAGGACUUAGUAGUUUUCUACCAAAAGAUAAAAUUGGGCAAGAUAUUAAAAAUCUGUGCUUACUAUGCCUCAGAUUUGAUUUUUGACAUUUUGUGGACAUUGUUAAGUUUUUUAAGCAUCAUUUUAAAAGAACCACUUAGAGUAAUGACAUUUUCAUUAACAAUAGGAAAACAUGUGAAGACAGUAUAAUUAUCUGCUGAUACUCAAUACCUUAAGGUUUUUAUUAUGUUUCUUCACAUUUUUCUUUAGAGUCUAGAUUUCAGCAGCAUAAACUGAAACAUUCUGCUUCUGUCUUAGAAAGUUUAUCAUUUAAAUUUAUUUUUUUAACUCGUAGAAAGAUAAUACAUGGGGCCAACAGAGUAUUUAACAGUCUUAAUCUAAAUAUGUUGGAAAGAUGAGGAUAUUUCUUAUACUGUAAGAAUUGUUUCCCUUUUAAUUUAGAUAUAUUCAUUAUUCAAUUAAUUUAAACUAAUAAAAUAAUUUUAUUAUAUGUGUGACUUGAUAAAAGAAUAGAUGGGUUUAAAAUACUGUCACAGAUUUUCAUGAAAAGUUUGGGAAAGAUACGUUUCUAAUUCAUUAGAGUUACCAAGUUGAGCAAUAAGUGGUACUAAUCGAGUAUUCUAAAAGUUAAGCUCUA